UCAGACUCUCACUGAUAGGAUGUCAUCUUAUGACUGCCUCAGGGUGAUUAACUAUGUAUGGUUGUUCCUAAGAACUUGAUUUGCUUUGAUGAAAAUUAUUCCCUUCACAAUUUCAUCGUUGAUGCCGAAAAGAAACUUCCAUCCCUGUAGGAAUCAACACUGUGUCUUCUUAAAGUGGGAUACCGAUAUGAAGGUUCUCAGUAGAAAUUCCAGGGAAACCCCUCACCACAAGUUUAAGCUAACAAUUCAGAAAUUUGUUUAUUAGAUUCUGAGGAAAAGGGUUGCUAUAUGUUAUUGCUUGGCUACAGUUUAUGUUGUUGCUAUUUGAAGGUCCAAAGGAAGAAUCCACUCUGAUCAACUAAUAUUCAUCUGCUUCUCACGUUCCACCAAUAUGAUAUGCCUAACCCACUAUAUCACUCAAAAUUAGCACAACAUCAUCAAGGAAAGUUACUAUGAAUUCAAGAGAAAUGGUCAGUCUAAAAGCACAAAAUUGGUACUUGAUUGCUAAUGGAUAACAAGGAGGUUGACAACGAAGAACAAAUAUAGUUGGAAUAAGAACAAGCAAAAUUAAAAACAUGAAUAUGGUGGGCAGAACUUGGUCUUAAUGUAGAGGGCCGUCUCUACUUUCUGGAUCUCGAUGAUAAGCAUCCUCCGCAUUUUGAGCAAAAACAUUUCUGCCGCUAGAAAUCUGAUUUGGUAACACAAAUGCCAAGACAUGAUAUAUAGAGCGGUUCUUCAAUGAUGCAAACCUGGUAUAUCUUCCUUGACGGCUUCUGUGAUUUGGCUACUGUAAGAGUAUAAAAUCAGUUCCACCGACUAUUUCUUUGUCAUGAUUCUCUAUAAGACUCUAGUAGUUCAAUUUAAGUGCGUAUAUAACGACGUCCAGGAGAUAAGUACUCGCGAAUUGGAUAUUUUCCGCGCUGACCUAGAAGAAGAUGGAUUUAAAGAAGAUUCAAGGGAUGGACCUACGGUUACUUUUAAACGCCAACGUGAAAGCGUUCCUGCCAUCCUAGGAAUUUGCGUUAGGGAGAGACUGUGAUACGAUAUGCUCUGGACUAAGUAAAGCUGUUGCAGACGAGACUACAAAAUUAAAGGGUAACUGUGUCGAUGAUGAUGAAUUUGUAGGAUCUAAAUUCUGUACCUGUUGUCAAAAAACUGAUUGAUAAACGCGUUGAUAAAAAGAACAACUUGCGGCUCAUUACCAUUGAGUUGCACGUUUGAUUUACUUAGUAUUUGUUUCUAUGUGUCUGUCCGUGUGUCAAGUGGGUGGAGGGUCUGGUUGUGUACGUUGUUUUACCU